rnacentral:snRNA from 14 species
GUGCUUGCUUCACAACACAAACACUACAUUUUGAAUAAAAAAAUAACAUAACCCCUGCCCAAGGAUGACAUGCAGAUUCUUAAAUCACUCCAUGCUUAU